AAAAGUCUCAAGAACAAAACCCUUAUUUUUUACACUUUUCUUCUUCAUCGACCCUCAUCAAUUGAAAAUCAUCAGUUACAAAAUGCCACGAUUGGAAAAACUGAAUCGUCCUUUGCUUUACACUGCUCCUACAAUCGCCAUUAAAUACCUUGAUUUUGACAUUUCAUCCAUUUCAUUACGUUCAUCCCCCUCUGUUUCCAUCGCAUCCCUUGUUAAGAACCACUCAAUGGAGAUCAGCGCUCAUAAUUGGGUCUGCAUAGGCAGCGCCGACGACGAUGGUCUAUGGUUUCAAUAGUCGGCGGUAGUCGGUGGCAAGGGACUGCACCUGGUCUGGUUCGUUAAAUAAACUGUCGAUUUACCCCUAGAUUUUGAAGGAAACAAUAAGAUGAAUGAGUGGAUUGGUUUGGGUGGUUGGCAAAGAUGGGGCCGCAAAAGAGUUGACUGAACAACAAGCUAGGCAGCUUCAUUUUGACCUAGAAUCGUCUUAUUAUUCAUUUACGGCUUCAUUGCCAACAACCGGGGAUGAGUCUUCUGAAAUAGAGCUGCAGUGUUGAUGGACAAACAAGCUGUUGAAGAGCUUGCAAAAGCCAUAGCUUUUAAACCCGAGCUACAAAUGUUGCACCUUCAAGAAACAUUCUGUGAGUCAAUGAUUGAUUAUUAUGUAGCUUUAAGAGAUUGUGAAGCAGCACUCUGUUUAGAUCCUAAUCACCAAGAGACGCUCGAACUUUAUAAACAAACACUAAAGGAAUCUGCUGAAGGUGGUUUCAAGGGUGUACAAACACAUUUAUGUCCUCCAUUGGUUUUUUCAUGACUACAGAUUCGCGCUCGACAAAAUUGGUUAAUAUUGAUUUAUUUGAUCGAUGAUUAUUUUCUUAGUUUGAUUGCAUUUUGCUUGAUAUUAGGACUGGUUCGAAAGCUACUUUCGGUAUUAGAAAAGUACAACUACAUCCAAUUUUAUAGCAAGUAAUCAAGUAUUAGAAAAUUCAAUUUUGUGUUUGUAAAGCAUGACUAUAGAGAUAUAGUUCAUUUAAAGUUAUUGCCCGAAUCUUGUGUGUGUUUUG